CACGAGGUGGCGGCCAUUUUGUUCGCAUGAACGCAGGCAGCGGUGUUUGGGCAUGAAUCUCAUGGAACUAAAAUCGGACACAGAAUAUCCCGAAUACUGCUGGAUUUCCAUCAUCGCCUGCGUUCGGUUCUACACAAGUUGGAAGGGCACUGUUCGGUGGAAUUGUUCAUCUGAGACCAUUGACUAUGUUCGGUAGUUUGUUAAUUUUUAAACUACCGAACUAGACCAACCGCUAGCCCUAAAUUUAUGGAACUGUUUUGGGCAUGGGACCAUGCGUGAUGUCAGUCAAACAAAUGACUUCCAGG